GAGUCGAUGGUGGCCUGGACAGGAUGGUGGUGGGAGUUGAUGGGGGCAGUUUUGUAGAGCUUAGGUGCCUCAUUCACGAGAUAAAAUCGAGAAGAACUUGCACUGUGGGGGGUGUACACAAGCCUGGGCUUUCUCCCCCUUUGACCUGAGACAUAGCGGCUCUCACAGCUUGAGCACCACCCUCUGAAGAGCUGCAGAUCCCAGAAAUGCUGAAAUCGUCCUUUAGAGGAAGCAUUCACUUGAAACAACAAAAGAUUAGAGAAACCUUAAAAAUGCUGGAUUUUCUUUACCUUUUGAGGAAGGCCAGCUGGAACCUUCUGAAAUUAUUCCUAUCCAGUGUGCAGCCACAAACA